rnacentral:rRNA from 1 species
GACAGAGGUGCCGAGCGUUAGGCGGAAUCACUGGGCUUAAAGCGUGUGUAGGCGGAUGGGUAAGUACCUUGUGAAAUCCCACGGCUCAACCGUGGAACUGCUCGGUAUACUGCUCGUCUUGAGCCAACUAGGGGCGACCGGAACAAACGGUGGAGCGGUGAAAUGCGUAGAUAUCGUUUGGAACGCCGAUGGUGAAAACAGGUCGCUGGGGUUGUGCUGACGCUGAGGCACGAAAGCGUGGGUAGCAAACAGG